rnacentral:rRNA from 1 species
AUUGAACGCUGGCGGUAUGCUUAACACAUGCAAGUCGAACGGCAGCAUAUUCUAGCUUGCUAGAAAGAUGGCGAGUGGCGAACGGGUGAGUAACGCGUAGGAACAUGCCUUAAAGAGGGGGACAACUUGGGGAAACUCAAGCUAAUACCGCAUAAUCUCUAUGGAAAAAAGCUAGGGACCUUCGGGCCUGGCGCUUUAAAAUUGGCCUGCGUACGAUUAGCUAGUUGGUAGGGUAAAGGCCUACCAAGGCGACAAUCGUUAGCUGGUCUGAAAGGAUGACCAGCCCCACUGGAACUGAAACACGGUCCAAACUCCUACGGGAGGCAGCAGUGGGGAAUAUUGGACAAUGGGGGCAACCCUGAUCCAGCAAUACCGCGUGUGUGAAGAAGGCCUGAGGGUUGUAAAGCACUUUCAGUGGGGAGGAGGAUUGCCAGGUUAAAAGCUAGGUAAUUGGACGUUACCCACAGAAAAAGCACCGGCUAACUCCGUG